rnacentral:rRNA from 1 species
AGAUUGAACGCUGGCGGCAGGCCUAACACAUGCAAGUCGAGCGGUAGAGAGGUGCUUGCACCUCUUGAGAGCGGCGGACGGGUGAGUAAUGCCUAGGAAUCUGCCUAGUGGUGGGGGAUAACGUUCGGAAACGGACGCUAAUACCGCAUACGUCCUACGGGAGAAAGCGGGGACCUUCGGGCCUCGCGCCAUUAGAUGAGCCUAGGUCGGAUUAGCUAGUUGGUGAGGUAAUGGCUCACCAAGGCGACGAUCCGUAACUGGUCUGAGAGGAUGAUCAGUCACACUGGAACUGAGACACGGUCCAGACUCCGUACGGGAGCAGCGAGUGGGAAUAUGGACAAGUGGGCGAAGCUAGAUCCAGCCAUCGCCGCGUUGGUG